GUGUCCAUAGCUCAGCUGGAUAGAGCGACAGCCUUCUAAGCUGUAGGUCGUGGGUUCGAAUCCCGCUGGACACACCA
rnacentral:tRNA from 1 species